UACGUAGGGGGCAAGCGUUGUCCGGAAUCAUUGGGCGUAAAGCGCGUGUAGGCGGCUCGGUAAGUCUGCUCUGAAAGCCUGGGGCUCAACCCUGGGAGGCGGGUGGAUACUGCUGAGCUCGAGUCCGGAAGAGGCGAGUGGAAUUCCUGGUGUAGCGGUGAAAUGCGCAGAUAUCAGGAGGAACACCAAUGGCGAAGGCAGCUCGCUGGGACGGUACUGACGCUGAGACGCGAAAGCGUGGGGAGCAAACAGG
rnacentral:rRNA from 1 species